rfam:Fukomys damarensis contig100976, whole genome shotgun sequence.
AGCUUUGCACAGUGGCAGUAUCAUAGCCAAUGAGGUUUAUCCGCGGCAUGACUAUUUCUAAUUGAAAGCUUUCUCUCUUUGCACAUCCUUUUCUUACACAGAUAGGCUCCAUGUAGGUAUUUUUUACUCUACAGAUUGG